CAACUCAAGAAACGGACCUGAUAAAAACCUAUGUGGAGGCAAUGGCUGGACUGCUGCCUGGGAAAGGCUUCCUUACUCUCAUUUCUUCCUUCAGCCAACAUGCCCUGAGCUUGUGUUAUGUGUCAGACACUGGGCUGGGAGCCCGAGAAGACAGGUAGCCCUACUGGGAUAGGGACUACAUGUUCCAACUGCCUUUGCAGGUGGGAGUGGCCAUGGGACUAAGUUCCAGCCAACAGGAUGUGAGAAAUGCCGUGUGCACCGACUGCUUCUCCUUCCGCCCCUGUAGGCUGUGAUGCCCACCUGAAGCCCUGCUGGAGAGGACAGCACUCCGAGGAGUAGCAGAGGAACCAGAUGGAAGUAGCCAUGGUCUGGGACAACCUCAUGUAGCAAAACGGCCCUCCUGGCCUGGAGUUCAUUUUCAAUCAGGAAGCCUCCAGGUAUGCAAAGGAUGACAAGUGAAACUCUACCUCGCUCCCCUUUGGUCUCCUUAGCAGACAGCUGAGGGUGCAAGCCCCGAGAAAUGCGAGCCAUGGCUCUUCAUGGCUGAAGGAAUUGGUCACCUAACACUGACACGGUCUGGAAGAAUUAUUUUGAAGAAGAGAGUCAAAAUCUGUCACAGCUCUUUAAAAGGCUCCAUGAACCCACCCAUUUCCCUGAAGAAAAGGACUCAGAAGCAGUGAUGUAAAGAAUCGUUUCUAUCAACGAGAAGAGACUCCUCUUUCAGAAAGCAGGAACCAUACGUAGCAGAAGUGAUAACAAUGACUUACUAAAAGGCACUAGACACAGUCACAUGACACAUAACGAUGUCUCCAUCAAGGAUGGGCCGCACACCCAACAGUGGCCCCAUGAGAUGAGACUACUGUAUUUUUCUGCACCUUUUCUGUGUAUGCAUACACAAAUACUUGCCAAUGUGUUACAGUUGCCUAGGGUAUUCAUGCUGCACAGGUUUGUAGCCUAGGAGCUAUUGGCUACACCACAUAGCCUGGGCAUGUAGUCAACUGUACCAUCUUGGCAUGUGGUGACAACGCAUAUCUCAGACCAUGUCCCAUGGUGAAGCAACAUCUGACUAUAUUGAGGUAGCCAGUGUGUGGCCUACAGGGCAGGAGACAGGCCUUAAAAGUUCUACUGCUUGGCCGGGCGCAGUGGCACCUGUAAUCCCAGCACUUUCAGAGGCCAAGGAGGGCAGAUUACGAGGUCAAGCGAUUGAGA
rnacentral:lncRNA from 1 species